rnacentral:tRNA from 1 species
GGGGUUGUGGCUCAGUGGAAGAGUGUUUGCCUAGCAUGCAUGAGACACUGGGUUCGAUCCUCAAAACCACA